GUGAGUGAGACAGCCGAUAAAAGGAAUGAAGGAAAGUGGUGCGGACAGACUGACGGACGGACGAGCGGAGAACUCGAGAGGAAGAGUCAGACAGCGCAGCCAUGCCCGUACUUAAGAAGCCAGCGGCCAAGAAAGGAAAGGCUGCAGCGCCACCUCCUGAGGCCAAGAAAGAAGAAACAGCUCCAGCGCCACCUCCUGAGAAAGUGGAAGGUAGGAAAAGGACUGCAGCGCGCCUGUCUGUCCAUCCGUCCGUCAAUCUCCACGAUCAUCACCAGACUGGCCCAGCAUUACGUCUGUGUGUAACGUUUGUGUGUCACUGUUUUCCUUCAUUCAUUCAGAAAAACCCCCAGAGGACGACGGGGAACCGCCUGCAG